rnacentral:rRNA from 1 species
ACACUCCUGCGGGAGGCAGCAGUGAGGAAUAUUGGACAAUGGGUGGAAGCCUGAUCCAGCCAUCCCGCGUGCAGGAAGACGGCCCUAUGGGUUGUAAACUGCUUUUAUCUGGGGAUAAACCUACUUACGUGUAAGUAGCUGAAGGUACCAGAAGAAUAAGCACCGGCUAACUCCGUGCCAGCAGCCGCGGUAAUACGGAGGGUGCAAGCGUUAUCCGGAUUUAUUGGGUUUAAAGGGUCCGUAGGCGGACUGAUAAGUCAGUGGUGAAAUCCGACAGCUUAACUGUCGAACUGCCAUUGAUACUGUUAGUCUUGAGUAAGGUUGAAGUGGCUGGAAUAAGUAGUGUAGCGGUGAAAUGCAUAGAUAUUACUUAGAACACCAAUUGCGAAGGCAGGUCACUAAGUCUUAACUGACGCUGAUGGACGAAAGCGUGGGGAGCGAACAGGAUUAGAAACCCUAGUAGUCCCAUG